UUUCUUGAGCACCAAGCUCCAAAGACUAAAUUGUCCGGGGGGCCAAUUAUCGAAGAGCUAAACACUGAUGAUGAAAAAGAUGAAGCUGAUAAAGACAAGAAAGAGAAUCCAAGAAAACAUGGUAGAAGCAAGGAGCCAUAUGUUAUCCAGAUGAUGAUGCUAAAGAGAGGAAGAAUAAGCAUUGGCAGUAUAUAAAUGGCCAUAAUAGAUUCCAUGACAUAGAGCAGCAGCCCCAAACUCAUAGCUUUACUUUUCAGAGUUCUACCAUGACGUAUGGUGGCCCCAAUGGAUCUUACUAUACUUCAUUGAAGAGUACAAGAACUGGGAGUGAUGGAGUACGUAAUGUGCCUUUUUGAAAUUAUUUUGACCUGGAUUAUUUUGUUAUAGUCCUGUUACUUGGGUGGCUUUUCUGAAACAGUUGACAAUUGAAGAAAGCAAAGAAGCUGAUAGUGUUUCAAGGCAAGCCACUCACAGGAUUUCUAGAGGACUUCACAACACGUUAUUUGUUCAGUAUUACUGGCCAUUAUCAUUUUGAUAGCUUUUCCUAUUCAUUUCACAAUUUGGAUUAUUACUUAGCUGGUUAAAUCAUGCUUUAAUGUAGCACAUUAUUUUAUAGGGUCAUACCCUUACAAGGAAGCUUAAUUCAGAUGGUAAGGUGGAUACCAUGCAGACUUUGCAUAAUCUUCAAGAAGGUAUGCACUCAUUGUUUGUCAUUCUUUCAUUAUUGAUAUUGGUGCAUUCUCUGGGAUUAUAUAAAAGGUUUGGACUGGUACAUUAGAUGAACUUGCUGUUUUCGAAGAAGCUUGGAAGGGAAAUGCCAGACGGUAUCUUCCUGGUUGGAGUGGGAGUUUCAGUGGCCUUGAUAAUAUGGGUAAGAUUAUUUCAAUUCCUUUCAAAUCCACUUUUAUCUAUGCUGUGGUCAUAGGCUAGGAGAAUUGUCUCUCAUUUUACAUUAUGCUUUUCCUCUCUCCUCUUUCCUCAUUUUAGCAAGCUACUUAUUACUGUAGUAGUUAUGUGUAGUCAAGGACUGGAGUAUGUUUUAUACUGUUGUUUUCUGAUUUAUUUGACUUGCUGCCUUGGUUAUGCUUUGCAUAAAUGAGUAUGACAGAGUUUACGUAGACCAUUGUAAUACAUGGAACUGGUGUCAUUGUUCAGUUUCAAGAGAGCGUGUAUAUUUUAUUGAAGUUGUGGAUGUCAAGGCAACAAAUCACUAGGUGGGAUGGACAAACAUUGUCAUUUAAUUCAUAGUCUAAAUGAUUUUGUGGAAUCUUUUUAAGAUCUUGGGAACUUAUCUUUUCCAACUGAGGAACUGCCGAAACAUGGUGAAGUUGAAGUAAAGCUGAAGCUACUUUUGCUUGCAUUGGUUGUGUGGCAAGGAUGAUUAUUGAAGGGCUGCUCUGUUGAUCUUCAAUAAUAGCAACACUCUUUACUGAUCAAUGGGGUGUUAAACAAAUUAGUAAAAGAGACUUAACUACACUAAGUGGGAGUAAUAUAUUGUAGCUUUAGAUGCCUUAAUAGAGUAAUUUUUUUUUAUACCUCAAGUUAUCUAGGAAAUUUUGGUGUGUUGUUGUGAUGCUGAUUACUUGUCUGCUCUGUUAUGUUGGGUUAUAGGGGCUAGUAGUGGUGGACAGAAUGCACAGGGAAGCAGGGGAGAUUGGGCACUUCCAUCCACUGAGCAUUGGAACGGGGCA
rnacentral:misc_RNA from 1 species